rnacentral:lncRNA from 1 species
UUAAUAUAAUCCGUUAUUAUACUACCUAACAACCAAUCAAUUAAUUAACACCCCAAAUAAAUAAAAUAAAAUAGUAUAAUAAUAAUAUAAAAAAUAAAUACUAAAAUUGGGUUUUUACAAGCCCCAUAGGCAAAAAGUGUCUAUCUUUCCUUCUUUCUUCCCCACUGAGUUAUGUCCUCGUGGAUGAUAAUUAUUUCAGUCUCCUC